rfam:Hordeum vulgare subsp. vulgare, WGS project CAJW01000000 data, contig: morex_contig_85456
AUUGUACUCCCUUCGUCUCAAUAUUCUUGUCUUAGAUUUGUCUAGAUAUGAAUGUAUCUAAUCAUAUUUUAGUAUUUAGAUACAUUCAUUUCUAGACAAACCUAAGACAAGAAUUUUGGGACAGAGCGAGUACUUG